rnacentral:lncRNA from 1 species
GGGGAAUGAUAAGUUUAUAUUAAAUUUUCAUGUGAAAAUCGUAGGUCAUCACACCAAAUUAGUGAAUCACCAAAUUGUCAAUGCCCAGCAAAUAUGUGAAAAUUGUUACAAGCAUGCACAUAUGACUUUCAUGGUUCCAAACAAAAUCCAAAUAUAUGUUUAGUCAAAAAUUGUUGUGCACUCAGAUUACAAAGAAACAUCAGACUAAAGUUUAAACAUAAUAAUAUCACUUAAAACAUAACAGGAAAC